AGCAGCCGCGGUAAUUCCAGCUCCAAUAGCGUAUAUUAAAGUUGUUGCAGUUAAAAAGCUCGUAGUUGAAUUUCGGGGUCAGCGGGCUGGUCGUGCCUAUGGUAUGCACUGGCCUCGCUGAUUCCUCCUUCUUGAAGAACUGCAAUGUCAUUAAUUUGGUGUUGCAGGGGAUCAGGACUGUUACUUUGAAAAAAUUAGAGUGUUUAAAGCAGGCGAUCGCUUGAAUACAUUAGCAUGGAAUAAUGAAAUAGGACGAUCGAUCCUAUUUUGUUGGUUUCUAGGAUUGACGUAAUGAUUAAUAGGGAUAGUUGGGGGCAUUAGUAUUCAAUUGUCAGAGGUGAAAUUCUUGGAUUUAUUGAAGACUAACUACUGCGAAAGCAUUUGCCAAGGAUGUUUUCAUUAAUCAAGAACGAAAGUUAGGGAUCGAAGACGAUCAGAUACCGUCGUAGUCUUAACCAUAAACUAUGCCGACUAGGAUCGGAUGAUGUUAAUUUUUUAANGUA
rnacentral:rRNA from 1 species